GAGAGAGAGAGAGAGAGAGAUAUGCAAACGACAUAAAUCACCAUUAUAAGACGUAGAUGGAUCCUAAAAGCUAAAAUUUUAAAUUAAUUAACGGAAUACAUGGCCCAGAAAACAAACAACAAAUUUUCACAUCUGCCACUUGUUACCAUUCAUUUUAUUAUACAGUACACCCAGAGUUCACAUCACAUCCUCAGGACAUCCCAUUCACAGCCUUUUCCCUUCAUAAGUAAAACAAAAGACACGCUACUGGACGACAUUUCAAUAUAGAUUUUGGAGACCAUUCCAUUAUCUCAUGGACGCUAAUGCUUGGAUCAUUGGAGAACAUGACAAAAAACAAAACGGCAAGCAUGCCAAGUUUGGAAGAUCAGGACAGGGACUGCUAAAAACACAGUAAUAAGACUUAACAUUGCAGGCAAAUGAUAAAACUGGCCUCAAGAUCAGGUACUUACC
rnacentral:misc_RNA from 1 species